rnacentral:rRNA from 1 species
AUUGAACGCUGGCGGCAGGCCUAACACAUACGAGUCGAGCGGAUGAAGGGAGCUUGCUCCUGGAUUCAGCGGCGGACGGGUGAGUAAUGCCUAGGAAUCUGCCUGGUAGUGGGGGAUAACGUCCGGAAACGGGCGCUAAUACCGCAUACGUCCUGAGGGAGAAAGUGGGGGAUCUUCGGACCUCACGCUAUCAGAUGAGCCUAGGUCGGAUUAGCUAGUUGGUGGGGUAAAGGCCUACCAAGGCGACGAUCCGUAACUGGUCUGAGAGGAUGAUCAGUCACACUGGAACUGAGACACGGUCCAGACUCCUACGGGAGGCAGCAGUGGGGAAUAUUGGACAAUGGGCGAAAGCCUGAUCCAGCCAUGCCGCGUGUGUGAAGAAGGUCUUCGGAUUGUAAAGCACUUUAAGUUGGGAGGAAGGGCAGUAAGUUAAUACCUUGCUGUUUUGACGUUACCAACAGAAUAAGCACCGGCUAACUUCGUG